rnacentral:lncRNA from 1 species
AGCUCUAUAUCCAGAACUUUAUUCCCUGUGUUAUCCCAUUCCUAUUCCCCUCAGGAUUGAGAGGUAUCAAAGUAAAGGGAGAUGGAAACUGAGUAGGACCCUCCAGGGCUCUCUCAGCUACAAAAGCUCUUCUUUGUUCCCCAUUUUGUUCCCCCUUUCUUGUGUGUAGAAAAAAAAAAAAAAAGAUUUUAAUCUCCUAGGCUUUCUCUAAGCUUCAAAGAGCAAACUCCAGCAGUCACUAAUUAGGGAGGUGAGGGGAUGCAGACACAAAAGAAAAGCAGUCAAGAAAUAGUAAUGCAGGAGUUAGAUCUUGUACCUGUUUGGUGUCAUUAGAAAGUAACUUCUCUUUUAAGCCUUCUUUGCACAAAAUUAGAGAACCCAGAAUAGAAACCGAACUUUCAUGUUCCCUGUAGAUUUAGAAACUAGAAUAAGGGGCACCCAACGCAAAGCAUUGGGAAUUGGCUUCUGAGUAUUCCCAGUAUGGCCCAGUCCACCCCCUCUUCCUGUAAUGCUCUUGGGAGCACUCCACCACCUUCGACCUGUUACCUCCAAAACUCGCUGGCAUUUCCUAUCACUUCUACACAUAGAAAAGAAAAAAGGAUGUGAGAGACAGCCUCCUUACAUGGCCCAAGAAGCUUUAUGCUCUACAAUUCUAAAGUAACCACCUUCAACUCCCAUCUGCGAUUAUUCCCUCCCAGAGGCCCCAGGGAUAUUUCCAGGGAACAGGACCUCUCAGCUAUCAAAUUCCCUUAGCUCAUGGACCCGGACAUUAUUUCUCAAAGGGCCAGAGCAUGGAAAAUGGAGACACUUGCCUUCCCAAACUCUUACAGAUUUAGCGUCAACACUCUGGGGGAUUCUUGGGGCCCUAACUCUGCACUUUAAUUGCUUUGGAGUAGAUCUAGGUUGUUAAAUAUCUUUGAGGUUUUUUAAGCCCCGUUUCUAAAGGCCAUGUAGAGGGCCUCUUCAGUGGAAUGAAUUCCUCAUAGAUGAUACAGUUUUAAAGCAUAACUCUCUCUGAAUAAAGGCAGGUAAAUAAACCUACAUUAAAACAAAAACAAAAAAUAGCCCCCUCUCCUCCCCCAAAAAACAAAACAAAACAGUAGUUUAGUGAUAAAACAGAGUCCUAAUUUCACCUCCAGGGAUAUGCUAACAAUAUGAUGCACAUCUUUGAGUUAAGGAGGAUAGUAACUACGUGCUGAUCACAUGCACACAGACCACAGACUAGUUAGAACAAGAAGGUUGAUGAUUAAGAAUACUGAAACAUCAUCAUUUUAUAAUACCAUCAACCAAUCAGAAGAAAGUCCAUGAGCUGAAAUGUUCACCUCAUAUGUAACCUUUAAAAUCCCUUCCCUGAAAGCCAUUGAGUUUGGGUUUUUCAGCAUGAGCUGCCCAUUCUCUUUACUUGAUGCCCUGCAAAUUAAUGUUGUAGAUUCCUUACCACAACCUACUUGGGAACUUCCGUACGCAGCACAUGUGGCCCUAAAAUUAAAAUAAAAUAAAAUAAAAUAAAAUAAAAUAAAAUAAAAUAAAACAUCUAGUUCAUAGUAUAUACAUGUCAUGCUUAGAUUUACCUACAGAAUCCUCUGUCAAACAAUUUGACAUCUAAGAUUAUGUUGAAAAGGAAGAAAUUUUUCUCUACCCUUCUAGGUUCUUCUUGCUGGUCUAGGAAUUAAUUUGAUGUGAGACAGAUUAACAGGAGAAAAUUUUAAAAGUGUAAUAAUAAGUAUAUGUGAGAGAAAGCCAGGAAAACCGAAUGACUCUUUCCAAAAUGAAUGAAGACUUGUCCUUAAAUACUAUCCAUAGCUCAACAUAAAAGAAGAUGUUGAGGAAGAAGUCAGUUGGGAGGUUACUGGGAACAGAAAAAUAAGGCUAAGAUCAUUUAUUCAGAUUUAAGUCUUUUUCAUUGAUAAAUUUCUAGAUAUUUGGUCAAAUUCCUUUUCCUAGUAUGGGAAUCCCUUACAAAUGGAAAUUUUCUUUACAAAUGUAAAUGUUUCUUACAGAAGGGUAACUCCUAAUUGGUUUUCAGAAUGCUUACCAAGUUUUCUGUUUCUCAGAAAAUAACCAACUUAAAACAAAUGCCAAUAUAUGCUAGGGUGGCAGAAUCUACCUCCUUGAAAUUAAAAAUCCCAAGAUCUCAUAAGGAAUAAAAUAUUUUUUACUAAUCACUUGAAACAUGCCAUUUAAACUGGAGCCAUAUGUACAUUUUAAUUUAGGUAUUUAAAAAUAUAUAUAUUAAUGAACUAUAUAAGCUAUGAUUUGUCAUUUUUGAAUAAGUAAAUUUUAUCCAGAGAAUUCAGAAGGCAUGUGAAAUGAAGACAACAUAAAAUAAUUACUAAGAUAAUUUGCAAAAUGUUUCAGUUUCUUUUCAGUAUCCUUGGGGAGUUUGUUCAUGUCUCCAUUAUAAUGGUUACUAUAUUAUAUGACACUGUAUCUAUUUAUACUUCUUUCUCACCUAAGGGUCCCUGGAUUUUACAAAGUCAAAGAUUUAUAGCAUGUUUUUUUUUCCUGUUGUUACCAAAACUCUGCCUCUGUCUGCCAUUGUUAAAUAGGAACUUGGGGACAGUAUUGGUGAAGGAGAAAAAGAGAGCUUUAUUGCUUUGCCACGCAAAGGGGGGCACAGCAGACUAAUGCCUUAAAGACUGUGUCCCCCUUUGAAGGGAUGAGGAGGUGAUUUUAUAGUUUGGGGAAUGGAAAAUAGGACCACAGAUAAGGAUUAGGGUAGAGGCAAGCUUGCAUUGUCUUUCAAACUCUGGUGUUUAGUGGCCCCCAGGACAGGUUCUGGUGGUCCUCCUUCUUACUGGAAUGAAAAAUGUUUCAUCAAGGAGUUCUUUCAUUUAUUGGGGGUUUUAGUUCUACAGAAAGACUCCAAGAAGAUAUUAUUACAUAGAUUCCUUAAGGAGGAACCAGGACCCUGCCCCAAGUCUGCACUAUCAUCUCCUGACUGUUCCUCCCUGGUCUCUGCAUUUCCUCCCUUCUCUGUUUAGUAACUGCCCUUUGGAACUCAGGGAAGGUCAUGGAGUCUGAGCCUAGCUAGCUCACUAGCUCAGUUACACCAUUACCUACUUCCAAAAUGUUGGUAGAGAGUGAUGGUAAGCAUUUUACAUUUUUUUUCCCAGCUUUACUGGGGUAUAACUGGCAAAAAGCAAUUAUAUGUACUUAAGGUCUACAGCUGGAUGUUUUGAUAUAUGUAUACAUUGUGAAACUGAAACUGACAGCACUAAUGUUCUGACCCUAGCCAGAACACAGAUUGGGUCUUAAACCCACGUGCCAGGACUUGAACCCAGCCUAAACCCAGCUUUGCACUUAAACUCACGGUUUUAAAUUAGCAUGUGUCUGGACUCUGUGAGGUUCAGGUUCUUCAUGUCUCUGCUCAGAAGGAAUUCAGUGAGAGACAAAGUGAUAGGCAAGAAAUAGAUUUAUUAGGAUAGCAUGCUUGUGAGAGAUGCAAGCAGGCAGGCAAGGUAAGCUACAGUUUUAUCCUCCAGUGGGAGCAGGGGUUAGAAAAGCCCACCUCUUUCUUUCUGGGAGUAGCAACUCCUCCUUGGUAUGCGUAUAUUCAAAUCAGCAGAAGGGUCCCCAAACUCUUGGUCUUAAUCUGAAUGCAGACCUAAUUCCAUCCCUCACCCAAUGACGUGAGGCAGUUCUCACACUUCACUAGUGCCUGCCUAGUUCUGAUGGCUUUUUUAAGCAAUUUAUUUACUUACGGUGAUCUCCCAAUGUCCCCUAAGUUUCCCUCUUAUCUGUGGUCCUUCAUUGAGACUUCUAAAACUACCUGUGCCUACUCCAUCCCUAUCAAAACUAGUUAGCGUUAGCGUAUCUAUCAUUUCACACACUAACUUCUUUUUUGUUAGUUUUUGUGAUGCAAAUACUUAAGAUCUACCCUUUUAGCAAAUUUCAAGUGAUAUAACACUGUAUUAUUUACAUUGGUUACCAUGCUGUAUGUAAAAUUCCAGAAUUAUUUAUCUUGCAUAACUGAAACCUGAGUGAUAUUUCAUCCCAGUUUUAAAAUUUAAAAGGCACAUCUAUAUAUAAAAUCUUAAUAUUUAAAGACUUGAUUAGUAGAAGAAGAUUUGUACUUAU